rnacentral:Y_RNA from 1 species
UGUCUGGUCUCAUGGAGUGAUGUUUACAACUAAUUGAUCACAGCCAGUUACAGAUUCCUCUGUUCCUUCUUCACUACCACUGCUUCACUUAACUAAUGUUAA